CGGCUGAUGAAUUGCUUGACCAAGUACACAUGCAACCAUUACGCCCUAAUAAUUGGUAGAAGAAUCAAAUUAAACCAUAUCUUAAAAACAAAUCUAUUUAUAGAGAAGAACAAAGAAUGAUUACUCACUUAUGUGUUACGUUAAAAACGGACAUAAUUUGACAAAAGCCAAAAUAAACAAUGGACACAAUGUAUAGACCAGAGAACACAAAGAUCGGAUUACGUUGGAACCAAAGAAGACACAGGCCUGCAAAAUUUGUCGGUAGAACACACACAGAUGAGAAUCAUAAUUUGCAUUUGUUAAUCAUAUAGUAUAUGAUACUAUAAUAAUAAUACUAAUGUUUUGAUAUAUAAAAGAAUGAGAUUAUGUGUUACCGUUCGGUUUCCAGGAUUGGCCACCGUUUAGUUCAGAUGCAAUGCAUUUACACGUUGAUGUCGAAGUUUUGAUUGAUUCUUCUCCUCACAAUUUCACAUUAUUAAAUUUUGCAUUUGGACUUUCAGGCGAAUGGACCAAUACGACUUACUUGCUCUUCACAGAAAUGUUGUACUCUUACUAUUUUUUUUCUUCUUUAAUACGUAUGAAAAUUUUAUAUCAAAACCUGUCGGACGGAGUACCGGCAACUUAUUCAAGUUUUCUGAAAAUAUUUACUAAAUAGAAUUUUGCACAAAUUCAAGAAGUGUUAACAUAUUCCAUUGAUAGAAAACUUUGUGAUCUAUAUUUUGUUUAAGGAUUUUUCAAUGAUUUUUGAUUUUUUUAAAUGUU
rnacentral:lncRNA from 1 species